rnacentral:lncRNA from 10 species
CAAACUGUUGGGAUUAUAGGCGUGAGCCACUGUGCCUGGCUUGUAUCCAUUUUAGAUGUUUUAACUUUUAGACAACAUGGAUUUUUAGUGUGUAAUAUUUAGAAAUCUCUAAUAUACGCAUCUAAAUAGUUAAAAGCUCUAUGCUGUUGCUAGCAUCUGUGGAGCAGAAUCCUCCACAGGUAAGUGAGAUACUAAUGUCUCAUCACAGCCAUAAUUCAAUUGAGCAUUUCAACAAAGCAUGAUUAUUUCUUAGUAACGUGGACAAAUUCGUAGCAGAAAGGACUCAAUGAAGGAAAAGAAGCUGAGUGCAGUGGCACACGCUUGUAGUCUCAGCUACUCAGGAGGCUGAGGCAGAAGGAUCCCUUGAGGCCAGGAGUUCAAGGCUGCUGUGUGCGUUGAUCAUUCCUGUGAAUUGCCACUGCACUCCAGCCUGGGCCUUUCCCAUGUAGGGAUGCCAGAUCACUCACAUGAAUUUUAGAUGGGUUUUAGCCUUUCCAGCCAUCUUUUGUUAAAGUGAAUACAAUUCAGAAUGCUCUCUACUCUCUACUCUACUGACAUUAGACUUAAAUCAUUGAAAGUAAAUCUAUUAGAAGUUUUCUGCUUUAAGUUUUAAACCUCAAUGAAUGAUUUGCACUUAGUAAAUAUCAAUUGCUACCUAUUAAUGGUGGUUCAGAAUAUAUAAAUUAUACUUUUUUAGCAUAGACCUGCCUGUGUGGUAAGAGAAAUCUAAGGCAACACACAGGUAUGAGGAGCUCAGCACCAUGGCCGUACUGUCCUUGCCAGGCAUGUUCCUCUUACCAUCAGCAGCUGAAGGAAGCGUUCAUGGUAGCCACAACUGAACACGUUUCUGAGAGUGAGGUGCUUGGUUGAAUGGCUCACAUAAAAAAAAUAGUGAAUGGGCUGGGUGCGGUGACUCAUGCCUGUAAUCCCAGUACUUUGGGAGGCUGAGGCGGGUGGAUCACCUGAGGUCGGGAGUUCGAGACCAGCCUGACCAACAUGGAGAAACCCAUUUUGUACUAAAAAUACAAAAUUAGCUGGGCAUGGUGGUACAUGCCUGUAAUUCCAGCUACUCGGGCAGGAGAAUCACUUGAAUCCGGGAGGCAGAGGUUGCAGUGAGCUGGGAUCACACCACUGCACCCCAGCCUGGGCAACAAGAGCAAAACUCCAUUUCAAAAAAGAAAAAGGAAAAAAAGUACUGAAUGGAUUUUGUUGCUGAUCUUUCUUUCCACUCCUGGGAGCAGGAAAACAUUAAGAUAAAUCACCAGUUAGCUAAUACUAUCACAAGCUAAAAAAAUAUUAAACUGAUCACUUUCCCUUUUCCUUCCCCUUCUGCUUCUAUCUUUACUCAACUGGUAAACGGGGCUAGGAUUGACUGAAGUCCUUGAUGCAUGUGUGAUUUCUUUAUUUUGGUGGGGA